GUCUGACAAAUUCUAAUGUUUCAUACAAAAUUCUUUUCUGAGCUGUCUAUUUUGCAUAGAUCUGAUGGGAAUUAAAUAGCUCUUUCUCCUCAACUGAAAAAUCGAUAUUCAGAACUCAUCUGAUAUCAAAUUUUGCUCUCAGUUUAAUCCAUGAUUAAUUGAAACAUGUCUCAUAUUUCUUGCUUUUUAUUGUCCUUUUAAAAAUGCCAUACAGAAAUCAUCAUAAAUCUAUUAUUUCAUCAUAGAAUUAAAAUAUGUAUUGAAAUGGCAUCACUUUAACAAAAAUGCAGGAUUUUUGUCAAGUUAAGAUUAAAAAUGUUUCAUUAUUCAAUUUACUCAGCCAUACUUUCUACAGGAAUUCAAUACAUCUAGCUUUCCAGUUCCUCUGUGGAAUACUUCAUCAUCUGGCAUAUGACCUCAGACCAUCUCCCAGGGUUUGGGGAGGGACAGUGGAAUACUUCUAGAAAAUCUUUUCAGGUAAGAAACACAAGAAAGGUGGUGCUCUUGUAAGAAAGUGCCCUGUAUAGAGAGCAGGAGCCCCAUAUUCACACCAAGGUGUAGCUCAUUGGUCCAAUUUUCUAAAAGUCACUCACUCUGCUGGAAGAUCUGUGAUUACAUGUCAGCUCCAAAUAGAGAGCCCCAAGUUCUCCCUGGAA
rnacentral:lncRNA from 1 species